rnacentral:rRNA from 1 species
UACAGAGGGUGCAAGCGUUAAUCGGAAUUACUGGGCGUAAAGCGCGCGUAGGCGGCUGUCUAAGUCGGAUGUGAAAUCCCCCGGGCUUAACCUGGGAACUGCAUUCGAUACUGGGCGGCUAGAGUAUGAGAGAGGGAGGUAGAAUUCCACGUGUAGCGGUGAAAUGCGUAGAUAUGUGGAGGAAUACCGGUGGCGAAGGCGGCCUCCUGGCUUAAUACUGACGCUGAGGUGCGAAAGCGUGGGGGAGCAAACAGG